rnacentral:lncRNA from 1 species
UGUUUUUGGGGGAAUAGGGCAAAUUUAUUUGUUUUAGUUUGUAUCCUUUUUGUUGCUGUUCUGGAAAGGGACAAGAAGAAAAAAACUGGGAGAAGACAGGGAGAAGAGCCCAUCCUUAUACUGCAAGGCACUGUUAAAAUAGCCUGCAUACUCAAUAAAUGGCUUCUGUACAACAGCUUAUUAGAAAAAAAACACCCUGAUUCAACAAACACAAAAUUACAUCUUCAUAAAUGCAAUCAGAAGAAAACAACAGAGGAAACAGAGAAGAAUCACAGGAACUGUACAUGCUGCUCGUUGAAGGAGGUGAAACAGAGCUGCCUAGGUGAAAACCAGGAGUCCUAUCCACUAUGCCACCGCGAAGCAGAACAGCUGCAUCUGGAGCUUGGACUCUUGGCCUUCCUAACCCGGAAGAAUGGAGGAUGGGGCCACGGUUUUGCGGUUACCUGGUGCUUCUGUCUCACAGCUCUUAAGAUUCUGUCCUGA